UCUGAUUUCUGGUGUUCCUGGGCUCUGCA
rnacentral:piRNA from 1 species